GAUGAACGCUAGCGGCGGGCUUAAUACAUGCAAGUCGAGGGGUGGUAGCAAUACUACACCGGCGCACGGGUGCGUAACGCGUAUGCAAUCUACCUUUAUCUGGGGGAUAGCCCGGGGAAACCCGGAUUAAUACCGCAUAACAAAUUUCUUGGCAUCAAGAGAUUUUAAAAGAUUUAUCGGAUAGAGAUGAGCAUGCGUAAGAUUAGAUAGUUGGCGAGGUAACGGCUCACCAAGUCUACGAUCUUUAGGGGCUCUGAGAGGAGAAUCCCCCACACUGGCACUGAGAUACGGGCCAGACUCCUACGGGAGGCAGCAGUAGGGAAUAUUGGGCAAUGGGCGCAAGCCUGACCCAGCCACGCCGCGUGCAGGAAGAAGGCCUUCGGGUUGUAAACUGCUUUUGUCAGGGAAGAAAUCCUCUAGGUUAAUACCCUUGGGGGGAUGACGGUACCUGAAGAAUAAGCACCGGCUAACUACGUGCCAGCAGCCGCCGUAAUAC
rnacentral:rRNA from 1 species